UCCGGUGGUAUGGGAUGGGCCCGCGUUGGAUUAGCCAGUUGGCAGGGUAACGGCCUACCAAAGCGACGAUCCAUAGCCGGCCUGAGAGGGCGACCGGCCACAUUGGGACUGAGAUACGGCCCAGACUCCUACGGGAGGCAGCAGUCGGGAAUAUUGCGCAAUGGAGGGAACUCUGACGCAGUGACGCCGCGUAUAGGAAGAAGGUUUUCGGAUUGUAAACUAUUGUCGUUAGGGAAGAGAAAGGACAGUACCUAAGGAGGAAGCUCCGGCUAACUAC
rnacentral:rRNA from 1 species